AUUGAACGCUGGCGGCAUGCCUUACACAUGCAAGUCGAUCGGUAACAGGUCUUCGGAUGCUGACGAGUGGCGAACGGGUGAGUAAUACAUCGGAACGUGCCUAGUAGUGGGGGAUAACUACUCGAAAGAGUGGCCAAUACCGCAUGAGAUCUACGGAUGAAAGCAGGGGAUCGCAAGACCUUGUGCUACUAGAGCGGCCGAUGGCAGAUUAGGUAGUUGGUGGGAUAAAAGCUUACCAAGCCGACGAUCUGUAGCUGGUCUGAGAGGACGAUCAGCCACACUGGGACUGAGACACGGCCCAGACUCCUACGGGAGGCAGCAGUGGGGAAUUUUGGACAAUGGGCGAAAGCCUGAUCCAGCAAUGCCGCGUGCAGGAUGAAGGCCUUCGGGUUGUAAACUGCUUUUGUACGGAACGAAAAGCCCCGGGUUAAUACCCUGGGGUCAUGACGGUACCGUAAGAAUAAGCACCGGCUAACUACGUGCCAGCAGCCGCGGUAA
rnacentral:rRNA from 1 species